GAUGAAGAACGCAGCGAAAUGCGAUAAGUAGUGUGAAUUGCAGAAUUCCGUGAAUCAUCGAAUCUUGAACGCACAUUGCGCCUUCUGGUAUUCCGGAAGGCAUGCCUGUUCGAGAGUCAUUAACAACCGUUUCGAUCCCUUUCUUUCAGAAAUUACAAAGAGGAAAAGGGUUUGGUUAUGGUGGAGGAGGGAAAGGGAGCGUUUAGCCUGUAAAAAAAGAGGCUGUGUUCCGCCUCCCCCCCAAAAUUGUACAGGCGGUCGUGUGCGCCCACGCAUCGAGGUGUUGUAAAAGCUGCCACGGCACUUUUCACCUGUGCAGUGCGAGAUUGGCCAGCCGGUUUAAAAACCCCUCCAAACAAUCAAAGGUUGACCUCGGAUCAGGUAGGGAUACCCGCUGAACUUAAGCAUAUCAAUAAGCGGAGGA
rnacentral:misc_RNA from 1 species